rnacentral:rRNA from 1 species
UACAGAGGAUGCAAGCGUUAUCCGGAAUGAUUGGGCGUAAAGCGUCUGUAGGUGGCUUUUUAAGUCCGCCGUCAAAUCCCAGGGCUCAACCUUGGACAGGCGGUGGAAACUACCAAGCUGGAGUACGGUAGGGGCAGAGGGAAUUUCCGGUGGAGCGGUGGAAAUGACGCAGAUAUCAGGAGGAACACCGAUGGCGAAGGCAGGUCUCUGGGCCACUACUGACGCUGAGAAGCGAAAGCAUGGGGAGCGAACAGG